rnacentral:rRNA from 1 species
GAUGAACGCUAGCGGCAGGCUUAAUACAUGCAAGUCGAGGGAGAAUGGGGCUUCGGCCCCAGGGAACCGGCGCACGGGUGCGUAACGCGUACACAACAUGCCUUAUACUGGAGUAUAGCCUCGGGAAACUGGGAGUAAUCCUCCAUAACAUUAUCGGGUGGCAUCACCUGGUAAUUAAAGCUCAGGCGGUGUAAGAUUGGUGUGCGUAUGAUUAGCUAGUUGGUAGGGUAACGGCCUACCAAGGCGACGAUCAUUAGCUGGCGUGAGAGCGCGACCAGCCACACUGGAACUGAGACACGGUCCAGACUCCUACGGGAGGCAGCAGUAGGGAAUAUUGGACAAUGGGCGAAAGCCUGAUCCAGCCAUGCCGCGUGAUGGAUGAAGGCCCUCUGGGUUGUAAACAUCUUUUAUCAGGGAAGAAACACCCCGUUUCUACGGGAUUUGACGGUACCUGAUGAAUAAGCACCGGCUAACUCCGUGCCAGCAGCCGCCGUAA